rnacentral:lncRNA from 1 species
CCAAGGGGACACACUAUGUCGGAUAAACCCACUGUCCUAUAAUUUAGUGAUAUGUUUUCUUAGUUUCUCCAUCUCAACACGGCUCAUGCGGUAAGGAGCAAUUGAAAUAGACUGGGUGCUUGACUGGAUAUCUAUGGUGAAUUCGACUUCCCUGUCCAUUAGCAGUCUGGGUAGUUCAUCCAGAAACACAUCUAAAAAAUCUCGGACUACCAGAAUCUCUUGAAUACAAAUCUCUUUCUUGGGUUUUCCUAGUUAGAGAAAACAGCAGGGUUAAAGUACUCGACGAAUAAGAAAAUUUGCUAUGAAGGAAUAAAUGCUAAACG